GGCGUUUCGCUCUGUUCCUACGAAUGGACGGAUUAGAAACAUCAACUGGAAGCAAUGCGAACGCCCGAUACAACCGGGAAGUGUUGGGUGUGGAUAUUAUGUCAUGCGAUACAUGUUUGAUAUCGUGACAAAAUAUUUAUUUGUUGAUUGUUUGGAUAAGGCAUUUGAAAGCAAUAGUCCAUAUUCUAUCGACGA